ACAGGGCUGAAGGACUACACUUCUAGCCCCAGCAUACACUGGGCUCAGGGACAGCGCAUGUCACUGGAGGAAGAGGGAGGGCUGUGCGCUUCUCACUAUGCUUUUUUGGGAGAUGCAGUCUCAUUAACACUCCUAGCCCUUUGGUCAUAGAGCGCCAGGACUGCAAUCGCAGCAUGCACCCAGCUCAGGGACAGUGCGCUAGUCACUGCAGGAAGAGGCAGGGCUGUGUGCAACUCCUGGGAGUACUGGGAGAUGUAUUCUCAUAAACACUCCCAGCCCUUUGGUCGCAGAGCUUCAGGACUACAAUCUUAGCAUGCACCUGUCUCAGGGACAAUGAGUGUCACUGGAGGAAGAGGUGGGGCUGUGUGCGCCUCCCUAGGAUUGCUGGGAGACGUAUUCUCAUAAACACUCCCAGCCUUUUGGUCAAAGGGCUACAGGACUACAAUCCCAGCAUGCGCCAGUCUCCGGGCACAAAUGUCACCAUAAGAUGGAGCCUCGGGAAUCCAGUGGAAACUAUUUCAGAAAACCUCAAUGGAUCACCGACAAGCAGCAGAGGGCCUCAAUAGACUUCAACAACGUCUGGACUCCACGGCCACUAUAGUCCGACAAAACUAAAGAACCUGGGAUCUUCUCCCAGCCAGGCAAAGAGGAACAUGUUUAUAUCUAAAAGAAGAAUGCUGUUUUUGAGAUCAAUCAGUCUGGUUUAGUCCAGGAAAAUAUUAAAAAUAUCAUCACCCAGGCAGGCAAAACUGAAUCCCUAGGAACUUCCAUGGGAACAUGAAAGCGAUGUCCAUUGUCUGCCUUGCUCUCUUUAAUAGUAUCAGCCAUUAUUAUACUUUCAGCUUUUACUUUUGUUCCCAUUUUGUUUAAAAUGUUAACUGAUUUCUUGCUUUCUUGCUUACAGCAACUCCAUGUUUGCAUGAUGGUUUUGCAAGGCUUUCAACCUUUGGUUGCCAACAUCUUGCCCACUGGUUCCACGAACGACAUGGUUUACACCCUGUUAGAUCACACAGGAAGAAACUUUAAGGCCCAGGCUAGGCAGAAGUAACACCCACUCAGCAGGAAACAGCUCCAGAAAAAAUGGCCUAACCCCUCAACCUCCAAUGUGAUUAUUGCCCUAAAAUCUCUUAGGGGGAAAUUGAGGGAGAAUAGAUAGUCCAGAAAAUGACCAUGAUCUUGGGAUAUAGAAACCGUGGUGACUGUACAGCCAACACAAUAAGCCUUAGCAUUCGCAUUGUAAUUGGGCUUAUUCAAGCAAAGCUAUCCUCAUUAAGGACUUUCUGUUCUAGAGAGCACGUGCAUUUUGAUUUUACCUGUCCUCAAACUUAACAUUUGCUUAUUUUAAUAGCAAAAAAUACACCGCCUAGCCAGGCAUGGUGGCUUAUACCUGUACUCCCAGCACUUUGGGAGGCUGAGGAAGAUGAAUCACUUCAAACCAGAAGCUCGAGACUAGACUGGCCAACAUAGUGAAACCCUGUCUCAACUAAAAAUACAAAAAUUAGCGGGGUAUGGUAGUGCAUGCCUGUAAUCCCAGCUACUCAGGAGGCCGAGGCACGAGCAUGGCUUGAACUCAGGAGGCGGAAAUUGCAGCAAGCAGAGAUCACACCACUGCACUCCAGCCUGGGCAACACGGCGAGACUCUGUCUCAAACAAACAAACAAACAAACAGAAAUACACUCCUGGGUGGAGAUCUAAGAUGCUAAUAACCAUGCAACAUAUGAACAAGCAUGUACAGCUACAGCGCAUGUGCACCCAGAAUACCACAGAGAACAUGCUUACUAGCAACUCCUCUUCCCUCCUCCUUAUUAAUAAUAAUGUAAAACUCCCAUAAGGGGGUUUUUCCAGCGACAAUCCACGCUGUCUCACUCUUAUGAGCAGCCGCCCUGGAGUAUUUCUCUCAGGGUGUACUGUAUUCUGCACUUAACUUUCAAAUAUGUUAUUUUCCAAUAAAUUAUGCUGUACUUUUU